rnacentral:sRNA from 1 species
AUUACGGGUUAGCCGGCGACCCGCCGAGUG